GUGCUCGCUUUGGCAGCACAUAUACUAAAAGUGGAAUGAUACAGAAAAAAUUAGCAUGGCCCCUCUGCAAGGAUGACACACAAAUUCAUGAAGCAGUCCAUAUUUUU
ensembl:snRNA U6 U6 spliceosomal RNA